rnacentral:rRNA from 1 species
AAAGACCUUGCGCUUUUGGAGCGGCCGAUGUCUGAUUAGCUAGUUGGUGGGGUAAGGGCCUACCAAGGCGACGAUCAGUAGUUGGUCUGAGAGGACGACCAGCCACACUGGGACUGAGACACGGCCCAGACUCCUACGGGAGGCAGCAGUGGGGAAUUUUGGACAAUGGGCGCAAGCCUGAUCCAGCAAUGCCGCGUGAGUGAAGAAGGCCUUCGGGUUGUAAAGCUCUUUCAGUCGAGAAGAAAAGGCUGCAGUGAAUAACUGUAGUUUAUGACGGUAUCGACAGAAGAAGCACCGGCUAACUACGUGCCAGCAGCCGCGGUAAUACGUAGGGUGCGAGCGUUAAUCGGAAUUACUGGGCGUAAAGGGUGCGCAGGCGGUUUUGUAAGUCAGAUGUGAAAUCCCCGGGCUUAACCUGGGAAUU